UCAAGUCAGUCAAGUUUUCACUCACAGUUGAACAGUCACACGUCGAGCUUUGUGUCAGUCUAUGCUUCGUUCCCACAGUUAUAGGACUGGCUGGCUGGCGGAAUGACGUAACCUGAAUUCCUAUGGUUGGCACUGGCCGUCUGGAAUUCCUCAUAUGGAAAUGUAUCUCCCCCUCUCCCACAUUUAAUGUGUGUUAAUGUAUUAUCUUUAUGUUCGAUGAUACCGCUUUUCAAAAGCACGUUAAAGUCAGCUGGCGUCGAGACGGAAUCGAAUUGUAUGUCUGUAUCUUUCCAUUGGUCGCAGCCAGAUCUCUGACGCGUUAUUACGCGUGGCUUGCAAGCAGCACAACUUUGCGUAACAGUAGUCUAUGACAUUAUAUUACUGUGGACUAUUAUCAGGUGAAGAGUGUGUAUUUCCUAUGUAAUGGAUAUUACCAUCGGAACGGAUCUGAGUGACAUAGAGAGAAAGAUGGCUCGGAAGAUUCCAGAGAGUCUGUUUCCUUUUGCCACGGAUGGACGGAUGAUGAAAGAUAAUACAGAUGGUAGAGACGGGUGGGACCUGCCUGGCCAUGUACAAGACAUGUCCUACACCGUGAGUCUGCAGAGCAACAUGCGACUCCUAAGACAAGAAAUGUCACACCUGCGGGGCAUGGACGUCCGUCUGAUGUGCCAGCUCCUGUCGAUCAACGACGGCAUCGAGGCGAUGCGCUGGGACCUGGAGGUGUAGCUGAGGUUGGGGAUGGCAGCGGUGACUAGCCAGGAGAGUAGCCUGGCCGAGAGCCAGGAUGCACCCCGGCGAAGCAGCGUGUCCAGUCUACACUAUGGGAGAGAUGGUUUUGAUGUGAUGACUGUGGGGAGUUAUCUGGGUAGCUCGGCGGAAGACCCAGCGGCGAUACCGGCCCUCUCUCGCCCGCUGACCGGGUAGUUGGAGAAGGAGGCUUGGAGGGAAAGCUACUGUACAUAUCCAGACUAUUAUUGCAGACCAGCUCUAACAAACCUGAUUCAGCUAUACUGGCCUAAAAUCAAGAUGUGAUGAUUAGUUGAUUAGUUAAAUCAGGUGUGUUGGGCUGCCUGGAACAAAAGCAUGCCCACAUUGUAACCUACCUGUACUGUACCUGUCCAGGAACACUGUAUCCAGAGGGUUUCAGAGGACAACGUUAGUGGGAGAGAGUCCAGGAACACUGUAUCCAGAGGGUUUCAGAGGACAACGUUAGUGGGAGAGAGUCCAGGACAAUGUGAGAGCGAAAUUACAAGAUGAUGUUAUAAUACUGUUGUAGGCUUCACAACAGAAUUAAAUGAUUGUUUUUCUGGAAUAGAAUAGGGGUUUUAGAACACUCACAUCUGUGGUCUUCUGAGUUGGGCCCUGGGGGAGAUAAGGUCUGAGACAGGAUGUGUGGGGUACUGUCUGGAUCCAUUGUACGUCCUCUCUGAUAUUGCACCUAUCCUGGGAUAGUGUAUGACCCAGAGGCUCACUCCCCUCAGUCUGCUCGUCUAGGCGAGUGCUCAAGGACAUGGGUUUUACUUGAGAUGGGGGUAUCUGGAGCUGACAAUUGAUUUAUGCCAUAGAAUGAGUUAGUGUUGCUGUACUAUGAAGUACCAGGUAUGAGAUCUUAGGGGCCAAACUCUGUACAAUAAGAACAGUUUUCAUAGCAAAUGGGUCACAAGGUGGUGAGACUUUUUGUAAAAAAAAUGUACCCCUUUUUUCUUCCCAAUUUCAUGGUAUCCAAUUGGUAGUAGUUACAGUCUUGUCUCAUCACUGCGCCCAGCCCGCCACAAGAGUCACUAGUGCGCGAUGAGACAAGGAUAUGCCUGCCGGCCAAAUCCUCCCUAACCCGGACGACGCUGGGCCAAUUGUGCGUCGCCCCAUGGUCCUCCCGGUCGCGGCCGGCUGCGACAGAGCCUGGGAGGCCUACAAGGUGGUGAGACUUGAUAAAUGAGAAAGGAGUAUCACCCAUCUGGCUGGGUGAAACUCCUCAUUUAUCAUCACCCAUCUGGCUGGGUGAUACUCCUUUCUCAUUUAUCAUCACCCAUCUGGCUGGGUGAUACUCCUUUCUCAUGUAUCAUCACCCAUCUGGCUGGGUGAUACUCCUUUCUCAUUUAUCAUCACCCAUCUGGCUGGGUGAUACUCCUUUCUCAUUAAUCAUCACCCAUCUGGCUGGGUGAUACUCCUUUCUCAUUAAUCAUCACCCAUCUGACUGGGUGAUACUCCUUUCUCAUUUAUCAUCACCCAUCUGGCUGGGUGAUACUCCUUUCUCAUUAAUCAUCACCCAUCUGGCUGGGUGAUACUCCUUUCUCAUUAUUCAUCACCCAUCGGGCUGGGUGAUACUCCUUUCUCAUUAAUCAUCACCCAUCUGGCUGGGUGAUACUCCUUUCUCAUUUAUCAUCACCCAUCUGGCUGGGUGAUACUCCUUUCUCAUUUAUCAGUGAUACUCCUUUCUCAUUUAUCAUCACCCAUCUGGCUGGGUGAUACUCCUUUCUCAUGUAUCAAGUCUCACCACCUUGUGACCCGUUCCACACAUCUGUUGUUUGUCAUGUAGACUAAGGGGGUGUAUCUUUACUAUAAAAGGUGUUUGUCGG
rnacentral:lncRNA from 1 species